UUUUCUUGUCCAUUGGAAGAUUUGAGAGGAAUCUGGCUGGAAUACAAUGGCUUCGUCACCUCCACCUUGUUCCCAAACUUCAGGGGGAGGAGCGGCCUCGGCUCCCGCGGCGGGCAGGGAGACCCGCGGGGCGGAGGGGUCUGGAGGGAUGCUCCGGGGGCGCGACACGGAGCGGUUUCUUUUUGAAAUUUGGGAAAAAAAAAAAAAAAAAUUCAAAUCAAAACACCUGGAGGUGACUCAUUGUUCGUGGCUUUUCGGGAAGAACUGCCGCUGCCAGCAUCAACAGGAAUUUGAAUAAGCACAGUGUGUCCAGGAUGAAGACAGCAUUGCUGGAUCCUUCUGCAGAUGUCAUCUUCAAUGACUGACCCAAGGCUACACAGUGACUAAAUGGCAGAACUAAAAAUUAAAGUCAGAAAUUGUGCUCUA